rnacentral:rRNA from 1 species
UACGUAGGGGGCAAGCGUUGUCCGGAAUCAUUGGGCGUAAAGAGCGUGUAGGCGGCCCGAUAAGUCCGCCGUGAAAGUCCAGGGCUCAACCCUGGAAUGCCGGUGGAUACUGUCGGGCUAGAGUCCGGAAGGGGCGAGUGGAAUUCCUGGUGUAGCGGUGAAAUGCGCAGAUAUCAGGAGGAACACCGAUGGCGAAGGCAGGUCUCUGGGCCACUACUGACGCUGAGAAGCGAAAGCGUGGGGAGCGAACAGG